GAGGAGGAGGAGGAGGAGGAGGGCAAGAGGAAAGGUGUCAGGGAGGCCUCGGGAGACUCAGAGGAGCGAGGGAGCAAGAGAAGAAGGAGGAGAAACAGAGAAGAGGAGAGGGACCCAAAUGUCACCACUGUCAACACUGUGACAAAUCCUUCACAACAUCUCGAACUUUAAAGAUUCAUCAGAGAGUUCACACUGGAGAGAAUCUACACAGCUGUGAUCUAUGUGGUAAAACCUUUACAAGGAGGGGUAGUCUAGUAGUCCACCGCCGUGUUCACACCUGAGAGAAACCGUACCGGUGUGAUCAAUGUGGGAAAAUCUUUACUUAUAAUAAUAGCUUUAAAUCUCACCAGCGCAUUCAUACUGGAGAGAAGUUGUACUGCUGUGAUCUAUGUGGUAAAGCCUUUACAAGGAGGGAUAGACUAGUAAUCCACCAACGUGUUCACACCGGAGAGAAACCGUACCGGUGUGAUCAAUGUGGGAAAACUUUUACUUCUAGUAGUGGUGUUAAAUCUCACCAGCGCAUUCACACCGGAGAGAAGCCGUACAGCUGUGAUCUAUGUGGAAAAACAUUUUCUAAGAUUGGUAGCCUUAAAUCUCACCGACGUGUUCACACCGGAGAGAAACCGUACAGCUGUAAACACUGUGGGAAAGAGUUUUCUCAGAGAACUAACCUUAGAUCUCACCAGCUCAUUCACACUGGAGAGAAGUUGUACAGCUGUGAUCUAUGUGGUAAAAUCUUUACAAGGAGGGAUAAACUAGUAAUCCACCAAUGUGUUCACACCGGAGAGAAACCGUACAGCUGUGAUCUAUGUGGGAAAACUUUUACUUAUCGUAGUGGCUUUAAAUCCCACCAGCGCAGACACACCGGAGAGAAGCCGACCUGGUCUGAAGUACUUUAGCUUUAAAUAAGCAAAACUACAAAGAGACAUAUGAAAGUGCAGCGUCAAGAAAAAACAAAAACAAUAACUACUGUGGGGUUCGAAGGUUUGGGCACCCCAGGUUAAAAUAUGUAUUAAUGUGCAUAAAGAAUCCAAAAAAAAGAUGGGAAAAAUCUCCAAAAGGCAUCAAAUGACAGAUUAGACAUUCGUAUAAUAUGUCACAAAAAGUUGUAUUUCAUUUCCAUCAUUUACACUUUCAAAAUAAAAAAUGACGUCUGCAAAAGUUUUGGCCCCCUGCACAGUUAACACUUUGUACCCCCCCCCCCCCCCUUUUGGCAAGUUCACAGCUUGGAAACGCUUCGUCUUUAAUUCUUGUUGGAGGUAUCUUCGCCCAAUUAUCCUUUCUAAAGUCUUCAAGUUCUUUGAGAUUUCUGCUCCUUUAAGAUCUAUCCAUAGAUUUACAUUAUGUUGAGGUCAGGAGAUUGUGAAGGCCAUGGCAAAACCUUCAGUUUACGCCUCUUGAUGUAAUCCACUGUGGAUUUUGAGGUGUGUUUAGGAUCAUUAUCCAUUUGUAGAAGCCAUCCUCUCUUUAACUUCAGCUUUUUCACAGAUGGCAUCAAGUUAGCGUCCAAAAUUUGCUGAAAUUGUAUUGAAUCCAUUUUUCCUUCUACUGGUGAAACGUUCCCUGUGCCAUGAGAACAGCUGAUUGUGUUCAGGGGGGGGGGAGGUUUGUGAGCUUUUGGCUAAUUCUGGGAUUUUUAUCCCAUGUAUAAUCAUUUGUUUUAUUAAUUUGAUCUGUCUUCUUCUUAAAUAAACUGAACUGAGUUGAACUUUGA